rnacentral:pre_miRNA from 1 species
UGAGUAUUACAUCAGGUACUGGUGUGCUAUCGCUUGUUAAAUCUACCAGUACUUAUGUCAUACUGUCC